GCGCGCAUGGCGUAGUGGUUAACGCGCUUGCAGAACAGCCACUCUGUUGGCAGGAGUCGCGGGUUCGAGUCCCGCUGUCGACU